rnacentral:lncRNA from 1 species
CUGCAUUCUGUCAUGUCAUCCUCAGGACAUUGCCCAGUGGGUAUGUGCUCACUUUGCACAUGAGCAGGCAGUGGUGAGACGGCUCCCCAAGGCCGGCCCUGGAGAAGGGCAGUGUCCAAAGAAAACAGGAGACACUUCAAGGCCCAGGCUCAGGCCCAGGCAGUCCCUUCUUGAGUAAGGACUCCAGUAGCUCAGACAAGAGCACGGAUUGACAGAUGGGAUCAUAUCAAGUUAGAAGCUUCUGCACAGCAAAGGAAACAGUGGAGAGACAGCCGGAAGAACGGGGACAGCCACUCUUGUGACAGCAGCGCUUCCGCACCUCUUCAUUGCUGUGACCCAAAUACCCCAAGAAGAACAGCAGAGGAAGAGUUCAUUUUGGUUCAUGGUUUCAGAGUUUCAAUCUGUGGUCAGUUGGCUUCGUGGUUCUGGGCCCAGGUGGGGCGGAACAUCGUGGUGGAGGGCAUGGAGGGGAAGUAGCUCAGGACAUGGCACCGUGAAGCAGAGAGAGCUCAGCUCCAACCUGACCUGCCUAUAGUUACCGCCCAGUCAGUCCUUUAGUGCCUCCAUAACCCAGUCACUUAAUAUCUGAACAUCCUUGCAGGUGAGCACUUGGGGGACACCGAAUACAGAAACCAUGGCAGAGAAUUAGUGUCUGUAAUGUAAAAAGAAAGAAAGAAAGAAUGCCAACUUAAUACCAAAAAGAAAGAAAGAAAAACCCCAGUCAAAAUCAGGCAAGUGAACUGAGCAGACACCUCUCAAACGAAGUACAAUGGGCAGUAAUUUCAUACAGAUUCAUUCAACAUCUUUAGCUCUUGGGACUAUGCAAAUUAGAACCACACUGAGGUUCUGUUCCCCCUCAGUCACCUUGACUGUCUUCAAGGGCACAAACAACAGUGCCUGCUGGCAAGGACACGGGAGAGGACCCCUUAGGUACUGCAGUGGGAAUGCAAAUACAGCCACCGAGGCCGUCAGAGUGCAGGCUCCUCAGAAAGGGCGCAGUAGCAUUACCACGUGUGACGCAGUUGACCCUGCCUCCCCAUUACACCUGCAGAAGCUAAGGCCAGCAUGUCACAAAGGUAAAUGCACACCCGUGUCUUCUAAGGCACAAUUUACAGUAUCCUAAGUAUCUGUCAACUGAUGAAAGGGUAAAGAAAAUGCAUGUGUAUAUACACAAUGGAGUAUUCUUCAGUCACAAAAAGAAUUAAGUCGUCAUUUUCAGGAAAACGGCUAGAGCUGGAGGUCACCAUGUUGGGUGGAAUGUGGCAGGUGUACAUUUAGCUUUUUAAUAGACUGCCAAGCUGUUUCCCAGAGGUCUCCACAUUCUCUCCAGCAGUCUGUGACAGCCCCAGUUGCCGCCUCCUGUCUCAGCCAUGCUGGUGAGCGUGCUAAGGAGCCAUCGUGGUUUUGAGGUAUAUUUCCUAGUUGCUAGUGUUGAGCGUAUUGCCAUGUGAUGGUUUGCCAUCUGUAUGUCUUCUUUGAUGAAGUAAAAAUUAAC